GGAUGGAUCACGAGGUCAGGAAUUCAAGACCAGCCUGACCAAGAUGGUGAAACCCUGUCUCUACUAAAACUACAAAAAUUAGCCAGGCGCAGUGGCAGGCGCCUAUAAUCCCAGCUACUCGGGAGGCUGAGGCAGGAGAAUCACUUGAACCCAGGUGGCAGAGGUUGCAGUGAGCCAAGAUCACGCCGCUGCAUUCCAGCCUCGGCAACAGAGUGAGACUCCAUCUCAAACAAACAAACAA
rnacentral:lncRNA from 1 species